UACGAAGGGGGCUAGCGUUGUUCGGAAUUACUGGGCGUGAAGCGCGCGCAGGCGGCUAUCCAAGUCAGUGGUGAAAGCCCGGAGCUCAACUCCGGAACUGCCAUUGAAACUGUUUAGCUUGAGGACGAGAGAGGUGAGUGGAAUUCCCAGUGUAGAGGUGAAAUUCGUAGAUAUUGGGAAGAACACCAGUGGCGAAGGCGGCUCACUGGCUCGUAUCUGACGCUCAGGCGCGAUAGCGUGGGGAUCAAACAGG
rnacentral:rRNA from 1 species